rnacentral:rRNA from 1 species
UACGGGGGGAGCAAGCGUUGCUCGGAAUCACUGGGCGUAAAGCGCACGUAGGCGGACUCUUAAGUCGGUGGUGAAAUCCUGGAGCUCAACUCCAGAACUGCCUUCGAUACUGGGAGUCUCGAGUUCGGGAGAGGUGAGUGGAACUGCGAGUGUAGAGGUGAAAUUCGUAGAUAUUCGCAAGAACACCAGUGGCGAAGGCGGCUCACUGGCCCGAUACUGACGCUGAGGUGCGAAAGCGUGGGGAGCAAACAGG